rnacentral:misc_RNA from 1 species
AAGUCGUAACAAGGUCUCCGUUGGUGAACCAGCGGAGGGAUCAUUACCGAGUUUGCUUUUCUAGCUCGAAACCCACUGUGAACAUACCUCUAUACUCGUUGCUUCGGCGGCAGUUCUCCCCUAUCUUCGCUCUUCUGAGCAAGGAGAAAGGAGCUCGACCGUCGGAGGGACGCAACCCAAAACUCUUUAACUACUUCUCGAGUAUUAUCUGAGUCGAUAUUUUAAUUAUCAAAACUUUCAGCAACGGAUCUCUUGGUUCUG